UACGUAGGGUGCAAGCGUUGUCCGGAAUUAUUGGGCGUAAAGAGCUCGUAGGCGGUUUGUCGCGUCUGCUGUGAAAACUCAGGGCUUAACCCUGAGCCUGCAGUGGGUACGGGCAGACUAGAGUGUGGUAGGGGAGAUCGGAAUUCCUGGUGUAGCGGUGGAAUGCGCAGAUAUCAGGAGGAACACCGGUGGCGAAGGGCGGAUCUCUGGGCCAUAACUGACGCUGAGGAGCGAAAGCAUGGGGAGCGAACA
rnacentral:rRNA from 1 species